GGGUUGUGAGGUUAAGCGACUAAGCGUACACGGUGGAUGCCCUGGCAGUCAGAGGCGAUGAAGGACGUGCUAAUCUGCGAUAAGCGUCGGUGAGGUGAUAUGAACCGUUAUAACCGGCGAUUUCCGAAUGGGGAAACCCAGUGUGUUUCGACACACUAUCAUUAACUGAAUCCAUAGGUUAAUGAGGCGAACCGGGGGAACUGAAACAUCUAAGUACCCCGAGGAAAAGAAAUCAACCGAGAUUCCCCCAGUAGCGGCGAGCGAACGGGGAGGAGCCCAGAGCCUGAAUCAGUGUGUGUGUUAGUGGAAGCGUCUGGAAAGGCGCGCGAUACAGGGUGACAGCCCCGUACACAAAAAUGCACAUAUUGUGAGCUCGAUGAGUAGGGCGGGACACGUGGUAUCCUGUCUGAAUAUGGGGGGACCAUCCUCCAAGGCUAAAUACUCCUGACUGACCGAUAGUGAACCAGUACCGUGAGGGAAAGGCGAAAAGAACCCCGGCGAGGGGAGUGAAAAAGAACCUGAAACCGUGUACGUACAAGCAGUGGGAGCCUCUUAAUGGGGUGACUGCGUACCUUUUGUAUAAUGGGUCAGCGACUUAUAUUCUGUAGCAAGGUUAACCGAAUAGGGGAGCCGAAGGGAAACCGAGUCUUAACUGGGCGUUAAGUUGCAGGGUAUAGACCCGAAACCCGGUGAUCUAGCCAUGGGCAGGUUGAAGGUUGGGUAACACUAACUGGAGGACCGAACCGACUAAUGUUGAAAAAUUAGCGGAUGACUUGUGGCUGGGGGUGAAAGGCCAAUCAAACCGGGAGAUAGCUGGUUCUCCCCGAAAGCUAUUUAGGUAGCGCCUCGUGAAUUCAUCUCCGGGGGUAGAGCACUGUUUCGGCAAGGGGGUCAUCCCGACUUACCAACCCGAUGCAAACUGCGAAUACCGGAGAAUGUUAUCACGGGAGACACACGGCGGGUGCUAACGUCCGUCGUGAAGAGGGAAACAACCCAGACCGCCAGCUAAGGUCCCAAAGUCAUGGUUAAGUGGGAAACGAUGUGGGAAGGCCCAGACAGCCAGGAUGUUGGCUUAGAAGCAGCCAUCAUUUAAAGAAAGCGUAAUAGCUCACUGGUCGAGUCGGCCUGCGCGGAAGAUGUAACGGGGCUAAACCAUGCACCGAAGCUGCGGCAGCGACGCUUAUGCGUUGUUGGGUAGGGGAGCGUUCUGUAAGCCUGCGAAGGUGUGCUGUGAGGCAUGCUGGAGGUAUCAGAAGUGCGAAUGCUGAC
rnacentral:rRNA from 1 species